rnacentral:tRNA from 1 species
AAAAAUUUAUUUAAUACCAUAAUAUAAAUUUGUCAGAUUUAAGUAACAAUUAGUAAUUUUUA